UCACUCUGGAGGAAAAGCCCCUCCCCUGCCCCAGGCGCUGCUUAACUGCUGUGAGGAGGGGGAGCAGCUGCCUUCCCUUCUCCUACUUGGCCACCUUCUUUYAGCAGGUGCUGGGGGAAGGUCCUGGCUGCGGAAGGGCAAGUUGGGCUCUGUCCCACCGGCCGGCUGAGGACCGCGUGCCCCGAAACCUCCCUUCGGCUGCUGCCCUGGGGCACGUCUCUCAGGCGCCUCCUCUCCCACAGCUGGCUGGCCGGCUGGUCUCGCCCGCAGCGAAACGGGAGCAGCCCAACUGCAGAAAAAGUGAACAACCUGUGAAUGCGCUAGACCACUGGAUCAUCUUAAGACAUCUGAAAUUCUGAUAAUAGUGAAAACUGCUGAUUCUGUGGAGACAGAUGGAGAAUGUUUCCUGUUUUGACUUUGCUGAGUUUUACAGGUUCUAUGUAGGUCACAGAACGACUGUGCUUGUAAGCCCAGGCCUUUGAAGGCUGUGGAGGUGCUUUUCCAUAAGUAACCACACAGGGACACUUAAGAAUUCACAGCCUUACAGCAUUCUCCCUGAAAAGGAAUAAUAUUUCUGAUGCUGUUGUUCAUCUUCAUCAACUGCUAGAUGAAGGAUGUUGCUUUGGUUGGACGUGGACUGUUACAGAUUUCUCCUC
rnacentral:lncRNA from 1 species